AGCGAAGCUUUCUGUGGGAAUAGAUUCGUCGGCAGAGGCUCUCCUCUCUCGGAGGGGGGAAAGCCUACCUGCCUCUUCUAAGCCCCCAUCCCUUAUUUUACUUCUCUUCCUCAUGAUGGUUUGCAAAAUGCUGCAUUUGACAACCCUUCUCAAAAUUCCAAAAGGAAAGAGGUAGGUAUCAUGUUGAAAGACACUGGCACACAGGGGAAUCUGCCCUUCGGUGGAGGUGACAUAACCAGAGAGUCUCUAAAGAGGGGACAUUCCUGUAGGAAAGUGAGGGUAAGUGAUGUGUUAACAAGUGAGGGUGAGUGAUGUGUUAAGGCCACUCUCAUUCAGACUUCUUUUCAAAGCAAGGGGCAGGAAAUACUGUACUGGAGAAAGAGCAAAAGAGAACCUCUGAAAUAAUUCUGCAUCUGUCUAAAGUUAUUUUAUGCUUGUACUUUAGUUACUUUAUUGCCAAAAUAAUUCCCGAAUGCUCAAGAACCAUUCUCUCUCCCACCCUCCCUCCUGAACAUCCUUGGAAAUCUCUCAAGAUUAUUUACUAAGGAGUGAGGAGAAAUAAUGAUUUCAGCCUUUAAUGAGAGAGUCCAUUUUCCCAAACUUAACCCACUGCUUUUCCUUGGUUCCUCUCAGAUUUUAGUAGGGGAGGAAUGUCCUAAAAGCCAAGCUGUGUUACAGAGACAACAUCCCUGGCCACGAGAACCUUUGCUGGGAUCUAUAACUUCAAUGCGCUCCAAGUUUCCUCGAUAGAAGUUUCUGGCUGACGGUCCCAACAUGUAACUGAGGCACAGUGAAAAGUUAUUGUUCAGAGUGUGUACUCGGGAAGCUCUCUUCCAGAGCAGAUUAAAAUCUUUCUUUUGGUGUAUUAAAAGAUACACUUCACAUCUGCCUAUUUUCAAAACGGCAAAGAUUCUUACUUUUGAGUCUCAAGGAAAAAAAAGAUUUUUUUUAAAAAGGACUGGCAUGUCGCCCUGUUUUUUUUUUUUAAUGGGGGAAGUAAUUUAAUGCUGAUAUUUCUACUUUAAAAACUUCUUUUGUUGCAGCAGUGGAUGUGCCCCGCGAUUUCCAGCUUUCUGCGGUUAGCAAUAUUAUCUUAAGUAACUUUUGGCGCCCUUCGUAAGACUUUUGGAUAUGGGACGAUUGUUUGCGCCCUCUAGGCAAGGGCUGGAUCCAAGUUCAGCACCAAAGCCCUUCACAUCCGCUCCUGCUUUCUCUCCUAUCUCCGCCAGCUCCCGCUCCCUCCCCCGCGGAGGGAGGGGGGGAGGCGGGGGAACACUACAAAGCACAGUUCCAACUACAGCCUUUGGAAACAAGACUGAGAAAAAUACAGUAGAAGAGUUACAGUUACAGAAAGGCUUCUGGUAACUUUCUCUCCAACAGGCAUAAAUUUAAACACACGCACAAAGAAACAGAUGUUCCUCAAAGGGCAGACUGGGGGUAAAAAACAUUUCCAACCCUCUCCCCUCUUCCCAAGUUGCAAAAGUAAAUCCUUGUCCAGAGUUCACAAAGAUACUAAGGCACUUGAGAGAGAGCAGGGAUGGAGGAGGAGGGAAGAAAGAAAGGAUAGUAGAGAGAGCAGUGGAGGAAACGCAGGUGAAGUAUGGAAACUAGUUCACUGCAAUCAUAUAAAUGACCCAUUGUUAGGAAGGAUAAACCCCUUAUUGGAAAUAACCUCUCCAAUCAUUUAUUUUCCAAGUGGUAGGAGGCUGCCUUGAAAUGGGAUUGUCUCUGCGCAAAGGAGGCUCCUGUCAUGCUCUCUGCUAUCCAUAUUCUUCCUG
rnacentral:lncRNA from 1 species